rnacentral:rRNA from 1 species
CCUACGGGCGGCAGCAGUGGGGAAUAUUGGACAAUGGGCGAAAGCCUAAUCCAGCCAUGCCGCGUGUGUGAAGAAGGCCUUCGGGUUGUAAAGCACUUUCAGUGGGGAAGAAAGCCUUGGGGCUAAUACCCUCGAGGAAGGACAUCACCCACAGAAGAAGCACCGGCUAACUCCGUGCCAGCAGCCGCGGUAAUACGGAGGGUGCGAGCGUUAAUCGGAAUUACUGGGCGUAAAGCGCGCGUAGGCGGUCUGAUAAGCCGGUUGUGAAAGCCCCGGGCUCAACCUGGGAACGGCAUCCGGAACUGUCAGGCUAGAGUGCAGGAGAGGAAGGUAGAAUUCCCGGUGUAGCGGUGAAAUGCGUAGAGAUCGGGAGGAAUACCAGUGGCGAAGGCGGCCUUCUGGACUGACACUGACGCUGAGGUGCGAAAGCGUGGGUAGCAAACAGGAUUAGAUACCCUAGUAGUC